CACAAUGCGUCCCACCCCUCACUGGGAAGUACCUAAUCAAGGCAAAGUGGAAAGAGUCCUUUAGUUUAAAUUACCAUGGAAGGAAGGGAGAGAGCAAACUAGUGCAGCAUACAGGUUGGAGCAAGGAGGGAGAUAAAGGGUUUCAGUAGAGGAUGAACCCUCUGCCCCUUGAUAGAGGAUCUGCCACAGGACCAUCUGAGUGUGGCCUUGGUCUUCUGAUCCCUUCUACGUGGACCCCUCAGGAGGGAAAAAUAUUGUCUCCUGUAAUGCAAGCACUUGGCCUAGGUUCUCUUAAACAGCCAAAUACCAAGAGCCUGUGUGAGGACCCAGUGGUAUCUAUCUGAUAGCAGCACAGCAGAAUUAAAGAAGCCAUGGAUGAAGAAAUCUGCAGAAAUUAUCUAAGGCCGCUUCAACCUUAGCAUUUAUUAUUCAACACCUCACUCAUUGCCCUGAUUAUAAAUAUUUAAUCACUCAACAACUGUAAGUGGUUGAGUCUUCCAGGAGGACCUGUGAGCAUUAAGGGGAAAAAAAGGAGGGGGGGAGGUGGGUGGA
rnacentral:lncRNA from 1 species